UGUUCUGUAGCUUAGUUGGUUAAUGCGCCGGACUAGCGAUAACGGAGUCGUGGGUUCGAAUCCCACCAAAACAA
rfam:Aedes albopictus isolate Foshan contig136028, whole genome shotgun sequence.